rnacentral:tRNA from 1 species
GGAACUGUGCCUGAAGUAAAGGGCCACUUUGAUAGAGUGACUAAUGGGGGUUAAAGUCCCCUCAAUUCCU